rnacentral:rRNA from 1 species
GGGUUGUGAGGUUAAGCGACUAAGCGUACACGGUGGAUGCCCUGGCAGUCAGAGGCGAUGAAGGACGUGCUAAUCUGCGAAAAGCGUCGGUAAGGUGAUAUGAACCGUUAUAACCGGCGAUGUCCGAAUGGGGAAACCCAGUGCAAUUCGUUGCACUAUCGUUAACUGAAUACAUAGGUUAACGAGGCGAACCGGGGGAACUGAAACAUCUAAGUACCCCGAGGAAAAGAAAUCAACCGAGAUUCCCCCAGUAGCGGCGAGCGAACGGGGAGCAGCCCAGAGUCUGAAUCAGCUUGUGUGUUAGUGGAACGGUCUGGAAAGUCCGACGGUACAGGGUGAUAGUCCCGUACACCAAAAUGCACAGGCUGUGAACUCGAAGAGUAGGGCGGGACACGUGGUAUCCUGUCUGAAUAUGGGGGACCAUCCUCCAAGGCUAAAUACUCCUGACUGACCGAUAGUGAACCAGUACCGUGAGGGAAAGGCGAAAAGAACCCCGGCGAGGGGAGUGAAAAAGAACCUGAAACCGUGUACGUACAAGCAGUGGGAGCACCUUCGGGUGUGACUGCGUACCUUUUGUAUAAUGGGUCAGCGACUUAUAUUCUGUAGCAAGGUUAACCGGAUAGGGGAGCCGCAGGGAAACCGAGUCUUAACUGGGCGUUAAGUUGCAGGGUAUAGACCCGAAACCCGGUGAUCUAGCCAUGGGCAGGUUGAAGGUUGGGUAACACUAACUGGAGGACCGAACCGACUAAUGUUGAAAAAUUAGCGGAUGACUUGUGGCUGGGGGUGAAAGGCCAAUCAAACCGGGAGAUAGCUGGUUCUCCCCGAAAGCUAUUUAGGUAGCGCCUCGUGAACUCAUCUUCGGGGGUAGAGCACUGUUUCGGCUAGGGGGUCAUCCCGACUUACCAACCCGAUGCAAACUACGAAUACCGAAGAAUGUUAUCACGGGAGACACACGGCGGGUGCUAACGUCCGUCGUGAAGAGGGAAACAACCCAGACCGCCAGCUAAGGUCCCAAAGUCAUGGUUAAGUGGGAAACGAUGUGGGAAGGCACAGACAGCCAGGAUGUUGGCUUAGAAGCAGCCAUCAUUUAAAGAAAGCGUAAUAGCUCACUGGUCGAGUCGGCCUGCGCGGAAGAUGUAACGGGGCUAAACCAUGCACCGAAGCUGCGGCAGCGACACUAUGUGUUGUUGGGUAGGGGAGCGUUCUGUAAGCCUGCGAAGGUGGCCUGUGAGGGUUGCUGGAGGUAUCAGAAGUGCGAAUGCUGACAUAAGUAACGAUAAAGCGGGUGAAAAGCCCGCUCGCCGGAAGACCAAGGGUUCCUGUCCAACGUUAAUCGGGGCAGGGUGAGUCGACCCCUAAGGCGAGGCCGAAAGGCGUAGUCGAUGGGAAACAGGUUAAUAUUCCUGUACUUGGUGUUACUGCGAAGGGGGGACGGAGAAGGCUAUGUUAGCCGGGCGACGGUUGUCCCGGUUUAAGCAUGUAGGCUGGUUGUCCAGGCAAAUCCGGAUAAUCAAGGCUGAGGUGUGAUGACGAGGCACUACGGUGCUGAAGUAACAAAUGCCCUGCUUCCAGGAAAAGCCUCUAAGCAUCAGGUAACAUCAAAUCGUACCCCAAACCGACACAGGUGGUCAGGUAGAGAAUACCAAGGCGCUUGAGAGAACUCGGGUGAAGGAACUAGGCAAAAUGGUGCCGUAACUUCGGGAGAAGGCACGCUGGUGUGUAGGUGAAGUCCCUGCGGAUGGAGCUGAGACCAGUCGAAGAUACCAGCUGGCUGCAACUGUUUAUUAAAAACACAGCACUGUGCAAACACGAAAGUGGACGUAUACGGUGUGACGCCUGCCCGGUGCCGGAAGGUUAAUUGAUGGGGUUAUCCGUAAGGAGAAGCUCUUGAUCGAAGCCCCGGUAAACGGCGGCCGUAACUAUAACGGUCCUAAGGUAGCGAAAUUCCUUGUCGGGUAAGUUCCGACCUGCACGAAUGGCGUAAUGAUGGCCAGGCUGUCUCCACCCGAGACUCAGUGAAAUUGAACUCGCUGUGAAGAUGCAGUGUACCCGCGGCAAGACGGAAAGACCCCGUGAACCUUUACUAUAGCUUGACACUGAACAUUGAGCCUUGAUGUGUAGGAUAGGUGGGAGGCUUUGAAGCGUGGACGCCAGUCUGCGUGGAGCCAACCUUGAAAUACCACCCUUUAAUGUUUGAUGUUCUAACGUUGGCCCCUGACCGGGGUUGCGGACAGUGUCUGGUGGGUAGUUUGACUGGGGCGGUCUCCUCCCAAAGCGUAACGGAGGAGCACGAAGGUUAGCUAAUCCUGGUCGGACAUCAGGAGGUUAGUGCAAUGGCAUAAGCUAGCUUGACUGCGAGCGUGACGGCGCGAGCAGGUGCGAAAGCAGGUCAUAGUGAUCCGGUGGUUCUGAAUGGAAGGGCCAUCGCUCAACGGAUAAAAGGUACUCCGGGGAUAACAGGCUGAUACCGCCCAAGAGUUCAUAUCGACGGCGGUGUUUGGCACCUCGAUGUCGGCUCAUCACAUCCUGGGGCUGAAGUAGGUCCCAAGGGUAUGGCUGUUCGCCAUUUAAAGUGGUACGCGAGCUGGGUUUAGAACGUCGUGAGACAGUUCGGUCCCUAUCUGCCGUGGGCGCUGGAGAAUUGAGGGGGGCUGCUCCUAGUACGAGAGGACCGGAGUGGACGCAUCACUGGUGUUCGGGUUGUCAUGCCAAUGGCACUGCCCGGUAGCUAAAUGCGGAAGAGAUAAGUGCUGAAAGCAUCUAAGCACGAAACUUGCCCCGAGAUGAGUUCUCCCUGAGACUUUAAGUCUCCUGAAGGAACGUUGAAGACGACGACGUUGAUAGGCCGGGUGUGUAAGCGCAGCGAUGCGUUGAGCUAACCGGUACUAAUGAACCGUGAGGCUUAACCUUACAACGCCGAAG